rnacentral:sRNA from 1 species
UAAAAAUUAAACACCUAAAAAGAUUAUUAAACUUCUUCCAUGUAUAGCACAUUAGGCAAGCUAAUUGAAAAUUUGGAGGAAGUAGGCUAGAGAUUUUUCUAAAAUUUUACUAGUUUUCCCUGAAAGUUAAUAAUUUAAAUAUCAUUUAGCCAAAGUAUGUUACUACUAAAAGUGACUGUUCUAAGGCUGUUUGUGUGAAGUAUUAAAUAUAUGUUCUUUUCCUCAAGGCUUUAAUUAGUAUCUUUUGGCCUUUUUAUGCUUUUGUUAUUUGAUUAGCUUAAAUUUUUCUUUUCUGAGUGUUCAGUCAAGUUAUCUGUACUGACCAGAAGAGGAAUUUCAUCUUUUGCUUUCUAUUUAUUACUUGAACAUUACUUUAAAGUGACUUAUAAUUGGAGACUGACAAAUUUGUGUUUUCUUCAAACAGAUGAAAACUUUAUUCUCAAACAUGACAGAGCGUUCCUUUUAUCAAUGGCAAAUCGAGGGAAACAUACCAAUGGUUCCCAGUUUUUCAUAAAGAGUGUUACACCGUGCGCUCCACAGUACCACAAAGCCUGCUCCACACCUGGAUGGGGUGCAUGUCGUCUUUGGACUGGUUAUUUCUGGUUUUGAAGUAAUCGAACAAAUUGAAAAUCUGAAGACCGAUGCUGCAAGCAGACCAUAUGCAGAUGUGCGAGUUAUUGACUGUGGAGUACUUGCCACAAAAUCAAUAAAAGAUG